rnacentral:rRNA from 1 species
AGUGAACGCUGGCGGUAGGCCUAACACAUGCAAGUCGAACGGCAGCACAGUAAGAGCUUGUUCUUACGGGUGGCGAGUGGCGGACGGGUGAGGAAUACAUCGGAAUCUACUUUUUCGUGGGGGAUAACGUAGGGAAACUUACGCUAAUACCGCAUACGACCUACGGGUGAAAGCAGGGGAUCUUCGGACCUUGCGCGAUUGAAUGAGCCGAUGUCGGAUUAGCUAGUUGGCGGGGUAAAGGCCCACCAAGGCGACGAUCCGUAGCUGGUCUGAGAGGAUGAUCAGCCACACUGGAACUGAGGCACGGUCCAGACUCCUACGGGAGGCAGCAGUGGGGAAUAUUGGACAAUGGGCGCAAGCCUGAUCCAGCCAUACCGCGUGGGUGAAGAAGGCCUUCGGGUUGUAAAGCCCUUUUGUUGGGAAAGAAAAGCAGCAGGUUAAUACCCCGCUGUUCUGACGGUACCCAAAGAAUAAGCACCGGCUAACUUCGUG